rnacentral:rRNA from 1 species
UACGAAGGGGGCUAGCGUUGCUCGGAAUCACUGGGCGUAAAGCGCACGUAGGCGGUCUCUUAAGUCGGUGGUGAAAUCCUGGAGCUCAACUCCAGAACUGCCUUCGAUACUGGGAGUCUCGAGUCCGGGAGAGGUGAGUGGAACUGCGAGUGUAGAGGUGAAAUUCGUAGAUAUUCGCAAGAACACCAGUGGCGAAGGCGGCUCACUGGCCCGGUACUGACGCUGAGGUGCGAAAGCGUGGGGAGCAAACAGG